UAGACUAGAACUGCUUGAACUCAAGUGUUAGAGUUCUUUUUCUUGUUUAGUUGUUGUUCUGAAGACUGAAGACUGAAGAACAAAGGACUGAAGACUGAAGUUGCCGACUGAAGCAUCAGUCGAAGAAUCAGUUUUUGACUUAUUACUUAAUGCGUGCCACGUGGAAUCAGCGGACUGAUACUAAAGUCAUGUAUCAGUUAAACAUUCUUCCUCGGACUGAACCUCCAACGUUCAAAGGAAGCCACGCACUCCAGAAGUACAGCCGCAUUAAAUACAGAGAUCUCAGGAUCGUCAUUUCUCUGCAGAGGUCAUUCCUUUUUGGUGAUUAUCUUUUCAGAGAUGUCACAUCUCCUGCUCUUCAACAUAGCCGUUCUCACCAAACAAGGAACCUCGAAGAUUGAAGCCUCAGCCCAAGUUCAAAUUACUCUCUAACGGAAGAAAUCUUGAAGACCUUCUCCGCCAACGGAUCUAUUCAAGACUUCUCCUAUAAAUAGCGCUCGAGGAUCACUUCAAUCUUCACCGAUUCAACGACAUAAGCUGAAAUGCUGCCAAAAUUGUUUCUCAGCUAAAGCCCAGACUCUCCAAAGUUUGAAUCGAAGAAGAGAAUCCCAAAGCCAAAAAUCAGUCACUGCUGAUUGCAUAUAUUCUCUUAGACCUUAGGAAAAUCUUGUUUAUCCAAAGUCUAGGUCAAACUAACUCCAAAGAACUUGUUUUUUGAAAUUUAGUUGGCAAGUUUUCAAGCCUCCCUUCAACCUACUGAAUCGAGUGUUUGUGUUGUAAAGGAGUUCAGAAAUGCGUUCUGUCUCCGUGAGGUCCUAGUACACAGUGCGUGCUAGGAGUGAAAAAUCCAACAAGGUGUGUUGGUACUGAAGAUUGGAUCUUCAAUUGUUUCGGUUGUGUGCACCCGCAAGCACACGUUCAGGUUUGCUGUGCACCCGUAAGCACGAGCAUCGGUUUGCAGUGCACCCGUAAGCACUUGCUAGUGAAGUUGUUGGUCUGAUCAACCGACCGUGGAUGUAGGAAGUGUUUUCUGAACCACGUAAAAAUCUAUGUGUUAUUUACAGCUUUCAGUAUUUACUUUCUUACUUGUGUUCUUCCCUUCGUAAACUGAAAAUUGAUUAAUUGCAAAGAGAAACCUUAAGACUGACAACGUGCUUAACUCACAGGCUAUUGCGAAACAAAAGUUUUCCGUUGCGUGUGUUAUCAGUCUAACUGAUCUAUCUUCUGAUAGUCAGUAAGAUUUAUAACAUCUCUUUUUAUCAAACUCGACUGAAGCCUUACGUUCAUCAGUUAAGUUCUUUGACUUAACUGAUAACUCUUUACUGAAGAGUAUUCAGUAUCAGUCGUCAAUUCUAUUUUGGUCAAAACUCUUUUCAGUAAACAGGUUGUGUGAGUUUGUGUUUGUAGUUUCGUUUUGAUCUCUGGUAAAGAUCGAAAAUAGCCUAUAGGUGUAUUUCCCCCUCCCCAUACAGCUAUUCGAGACCUUCCAGACCUAACAGUACUUUUUUUAUUAUAUAUAGGGAUCAUUGGAUUCUUACCGUGUUGGAUCCUCGCAAAGAGAUAAUUUAUCAUUUUGAUUCUCUCGGUGAAUGUAUGUUUGAUAAUACUUGAAAGACUAUUGUGAACACGGCGAUUUACAUGUUCAAUGCAAAAUUACAAAAAAGAGGCAAGAAACAAAUCACUUGGGAACUCAUGAAGUGUCCAAUACAACCGGAUUUCAAACAAUGUGGAUUCUUUCUAUUGCGAUUCAUGAAGAACAUUAUUGAAAAUACUAUAGAGAGUGGUUCGUGCUCUCUACGUUUACUUGUAAGAAAUUUACCUUUCACUUAUUCAAAUUUAAGUUAAUUUUUUUCAUUUGUAUAAAAUAGUAUUAAUAUAUAUUUAAAUUUUUAAUUGUGAAUAUAUACAAGAUAAUCAAACUUAUGAUCGAAAGGAUAUUGAUGAAGUUCGUGUUGAGUGGGCAAUCCUGUUGAUGGAAAACAUUUAGUACGAUCGAUUUUUGUUUUAGUGUGAUAGACUUUUUGAAUCGACAUAAUUGUAUUGAUUAUAUGCACUUCAUACUUUGUAUUUUGUGGUUAAUUUUAGGUUUGACAUUGUAUUAAUACUUGCUACAACAUUGUUGGAUGAAA